AGGACGACGCUGGCGGCGUGCCUAACACAUGCAAGUCGAACGGGACUCAUUGGAACAAGACUUCGGUCAAGGGAAUUUGAGUUUAGUGGCGAACGGGUGAGUAACGCGUGAGCAACCUGCCCUUCAGAGGGGGACAACAGUUGGAAACGACUGCUAAUACCGCAUGACGUACGAGGAAGGCAUCUUCUUUGUAUCAAAGAUUUAUCGCUGAAGGAUGGGCUCGCGUCUGAUUAGAUAGUUGGUGGGGUAACGGCCUACCAAGUCGACGAUCAGUAGCCGGACUGAGAGGUUGAACGGCCACAUUGGGACUGAGAUACGGCCCAGACUCCUACGGGAGGCAGCAGUGGGGAAUAUUGCACAAUGGGGGAAACCCUGAUGCAGCGACGCCGCGUGAGUGAAGAAGUAUUUCGGUAUGUAAAGCUCUAUCAGCAGGGAAGAAAGUGACGGUACCUGAAUAAGAAGCCCCGGCUAACUACGUG
rnacentral:rRNA from 1 species